GUUACGUUACUUUUGAUCCAUCUCUACAUUUCUAUAGUAUGAUUAGCGAGUUCACUCACCGAACUUCGCAGAAAACCCAACCACGAUGAUGUGGAAUGGGGCUUUCUCCUGAGCGUGAAGCGGUUGAUUCGUUCCUAAAAUGGGAUGAACAACAUUGAUGAUCGCACUGUUUUGCAUUGCGCCAAAUAGACGGAUAAAGCUCGUUCUGAGUGGU